rnacentral:rRNA from 1 species
CGAUAACGAACGAGACCUUAGCCUGCUAAAUAGGAUCGGGAACUUUUUUGUUCUCGCAUCACUUCUUAGAGGGACUUUGCGUGUCUAACGCAAGGAAGUUUGAGGCAAUAACAGGUCUGUGAUGCCCUUAGAUGUUCUGGGCUGCACGCGCGCUACACUGAUGCAUGCAACGAGUUUUUGACCUUGGCCGGAAGGUCUAGGUAAUCUUUUGAGUAUGCAUCGUGAUGGGGAUAGAUUAUUGCAAUUAUUAAUCUUCAACGAGGAAUGCCUAGUAGGCGCAAGUCAGCAGCUUGUGCCGAUUACGUCCCUGCCCUUUGUACACACCGCCCGUCGCUGCAACCGAUCGGAGGGUCCUGUGAACUCGAUGGACUGCCCAUCCCCUUCUUGGGGUUGGGCUGGAAGUUGCGUAAAUAGAGCCCUCUAAAGGAUGCAAAAGUCGUAACACGGUUUCCGUAGGUGAACCUGCGGAAGGAUCAUUC